AAUGUUUGGCAAUUUUGCUGUAACAGAAUUGAAAGCGGGUGUUACGCAAUGAAUGACAAAAUCUAAAGGCUAUAUCAGUGAGAUUGCUAUGAGAAUGACUCUGGAAGAAGCCAGAAAACCAGAAAACCCCAUUCAGGAGAUGAAAAUUCAGAUUUGGGUCUACAUUACAUCUCUGGAUCUUACUGUCCUUCUUGUUUUGAAGUGAAAUGACUUUUGGCAGAAGAUCAAAAUGUGGUGAGAGAUGAUGUUCUGAGGUAUUUAAACUCCUGAUAGGAGCAACAGUCUGAUUCUUCCACCAUUGUCUUUUCACUUGGAAGAACAGCAGACGAUGUCUUUUGUUACUUUUUGCCUCUGCAAAUGUGAGGACUAUCUUUAGCUAAGCUCACAGGAGGUCAAAGUUGCUUAUGUUUUUUAUAGGGGGAUUAAGAAACUGACAACAGACUUUGCAAUGCAAUAAGAUGUCUAUCUAUCAUCUAUCUAUCUAUCAAACAAUCUAUCAAUCUGUUAAAAAGUAGAGUAUUAAUAUACAUAGGAGCACCUUAUCUCCUUAAAUAUACGUGUUUUGUGCUGGUUGAGAUAUUCUAGCUUUUUUUAGAUCUCAGCAUAGAGGAAAACAUGAUAAAGAACCAAGACACUGGUUAUGGAACAACAUCUGGCAUCCAGGUGCAGAUGCACUGUGACAUCUAAAAUGGCACUAGAAACCCAUACUUAAAUAUUUAUGACAGCAGUGUCAGGAGGUAUGGAUCCUUCUGUACUGUUUUGCACUAUUUUUUUUUCAAAAAAAAAAUCCUCUUGCAUAAUACAGUUAAUUUAAAACUUGCAAAUGAGUAUGGCUUUUUAAGCAAUACGACAGUACUAGCAGAAAUUCUAUUUUUCUGAAUAACCCAGACCAAUACAUCAAAUAUAUGAAUGAUCAUUUAGUACCUGGAACAAUGGAGGGGAAGGUACAACUAAAUGUAGUAAGGUCUUGCAUCUUAAAUAAGCUAUCCUCAGUGUACAUUAACUAUUUUGCAAUCCUUUGUGUUUCAGAGUGUU
rnacentral:lncRNA from 1 species